rnacentral:tRNA from 1 species
CAGAAAAUAAUUUAACUAGAAUAUUGGCUUUGGGUGCCAUCAGUGGGAGUUGAAGUCUCUCUUUUCUGG